CCUGGCUGGAAUAAUAUCUUUUAACAAUGCUCUAGUUACCUCCCUGGCUUUUUCAGUGUGAGUGGGGAAAGCUUCUGUCCACCUAGAGUAGGUGCAGACAGACACCAGCGUAUACCAAUAGCAUCUGACUCGGGACAUUUUGGUAAAGUCUACAGGCAAGUUUUCACAUGGGGUUGCUCCUACUUCUUGAACUCCCGGGGGUGGACUGGCCCUUGCGGUGGGUUGUUUUGUGCACAUCUUUUGUUAAGCAUCUCUCACAAACCGAACAAGUUACAGCAGUGAGAUGUGGCACAUAAAAAUGCCACUUGAUGGAAGCCUCCCAAGCUGUUUUUCCCAUGUGUGUCCCUUCAUGAAAUUGCUUUACAAACUUAGGGGCCAUUAUGUCAGGGAUGGCUAGCCUCCAGUCCAAGAAUUGCCACCAACCUCCUUUGAUAUAGUGUCCAGCCUCCUGAGCAAACAAGGCCUUUUCACUAGAGGAAGAAUUUGGUUCUUCCAUAGGUAGAGGUUCUGGAAGGAGAGGCAUUGCUACAACUUGGUUCUGUGGUGGGGGAGCUGUCAUAGUGAGGGACGAGACCCUUCUCCUGUCUUGAGAUGCAAGUCUGCCAGUGCUCCCGGCCGAAUAAAGCCACUUCCUUCUUUAAAUUUGGUGUCUGGGAGGUUUCACCUGCGGCUUGCCCUGCUACAGUAGCAGCUUGCUUAGCUUUCCCGUCUGCUUUUCUGUUCCCUCUGGAUUCAUAGGAAGCAUCUGGCUGAUGUCCCUUGCAGUGCAUGACAGCUGCCUUUUCUGGUGCCCACACAGCGUCCAAAAGCUGCAGAAUGUCCUCCUUGUUCUUUCUUUCUUUCUCUCCUGAUGUAAGGAGGCCUCUUUCCUUGUAUAUGGCUUCACGGACACGCAGUAUAGCAAAGGCAUAUUUAGAGUCAGUAUAGAUAUUAGCUACUUUUCCUUUUGCCAGCAACAAGGCCUUGUUAAAGCAAUCAGCUCGGCCUUUUGAGCUGAUGUUCCUUCAGGCAAGGACUGUGCCUCUAUUUCUCAGCCAUCAGUGGACCCAAAUUCCUAUGUUACUACAGCAUACCCUGCUCCGUGGAUUUCCUCUGAAAUGAAACUGCUGCCUUCCGUGAAGUAGUCUACAUCUGAACUGUUUAAAGGCUGAUGGGUUCCAUUGUGCUGUCAUGGGAAGGGCUCUGGGACGUGGGAGAGCCAAGCUCCUGUCUCGGGAAGCCGUCCCAUUGGUGCAUCUCAGGACUAGGGUCUCCCCAGACCCAGGGGCCUAAGCCCCACAGGCAAAGGAGACAGUAAGCCCGUUAUCUCUGUUCUUCUGGAUGGCACCUGGGUUUCAGCACCAAAAUGUUGUGGAAAUUUGAGCCGAUAACAACAGAGAGACCAAGAA